AUUGAACGCUGGCGGCAGGCCUAACACAUGCAAGUCGAGCGGUAACACAGGAGAGCUUGCUCUCUGGGUGACGAGCGGCGGACGGGUGAGUAAUGUCUGGGAAACUGCCCGAUGGAGGGGGAUAACUACUGGAAACGGUAGCUAAUACCGCAUAACGUCUUCGGACCAAAGAGGGGGACCUUCGGGCCUCUUGCCAUCGGAUGUGCCCAGAUGGGAUUAGCUAGUAGGUGGGGUAAUGGCUCACCUAGGCGACGAUCCCUAGCUGGUCUGAGAGGAUGACCAGCCACACUGGAACUGAGACACGGUCCAGACUCCUACGGGAGGCAGCAGUGGGGAAUAUUGCACAAUGGGCGCAAGCCUGAUGCAGCCAUGCCGCGUGGAUGAAGGCCUUAGGGUUGUAAAGCUCUUUCAGCUGGGAAGAUAAUGACGGUACCAGCAGAAGAAGCCCCGGCUAACUCCGUGCCAGCAGCCGCAGUAACAC
rnacentral:rRNA from 1 species